UAAACAAUGGUUUGCUAAUUUCGUUAUGUAUGUUAAUUUCUCUUUUUCAAUGCUAAUUUUGAGGGUUUUUUACACGGUUAUUGGAUUUUUUAAAAAAACCGGUUAUAACCGAGAAAAAAAUAUAACCGAAAAAAACCGGUUAAUUGAAACUAAAAACCGGUUUUCGGUUAUAACCGGUAGGUUUUUCCCAUCCCUACUUUCGAUUUAUUCACAGUUUAAUUGGCACAUUCGGAUUUCAAAUCCCAGGUGAUCAUCCCUUUGAGCGACCGUGACAUCACAAAUUUGAAGACCCCCUCAUCUCUUACCUAAAAAUUUUUCCCCGAUUUUACGUAAAAAUAAUAAUGAUAAAUAUAUAUAAAAUAGUAUAAAAUAUGAGUUAUAUUUACACUAAUAUUUUGCUACCCAGUGGCGUAUUCGGGAAGUGCUUUGGUGGCAUAUGCCCCCUUAAAAAUACGUUAAUGAAAAUGAUUAUAGCUAAUAACUGAAAAUUUAAUAUUCUUUGGCUAAUUAUUA
rnacentral:lncRNA from 1 species